rnacentral:tRNA from 1 species
CGGAGUGUAGCACAGUGGGUAAGGAACUGGGCUUGUAACCGAAAGGUCGCAGGUUCGAUUCAACACUGCCGUUGUAC